rnacentral:rRNA from 1 species
UACGUAGGGUGCGAGCGUUAAUCGGAAUUACUGGGCGUAAAGCGUGCGUAGGCGGUUCGUUAAGUUCGUUGUGAAAGCCCCGGGCUCAACCUGGGAACUGCAAUGGAAACUGGCGGGCUUGAGUAUGGCAGAGGGGGGUGGAAUUCCGCGUGUAGCAGUGAAAUGCGUAGAGAUGCGGAGGAACACCGGUGGCGAAGGCGGGUCUCUGGGCCGAUACUGACGCUGAGGAGCGAAAGCGUGGGGAGCGAACAGG